CGGACCGGCGCACGGGUGAGUAACGCGUAUGCAACUUACCUAUCAGAGGGGGAUAGCCCGGCGAAAGUCGGAUUAAUACCCCAUGAAACAGGGGUCCCGCAUGGGAAUAUUUGUUAAAGAUUCAUCGCUGAUAGAUAGGCAUGCGUUCCAUUAGGCAGUUGGUGAGGUAACGGCUCACCAAACCUUCGAUGGAUAGGGGUUCUGAGAGGAAGGUCCCCCACAUUGGAACUGAGACACGGUCCAA
rnacentral:rRNA from 1 species